CAGUCAUCGGGGAGUUGUAGAUGAGGUUAAUUGCUUGCUGGAAGAGAGAGACUGACCCUCCUAACGGGUUCUGAUAGAGAAGAAGCUAGACCUCGGAGAAGAUGGACCGACGGCGGCCGAGAGCACUCUUGGAAGCAGAUGCAACAUAUGACGUCCGUGUAAGGAGGAGGAUGAUGUACUUCCGGUGGUCGUCAGCUGUCCGGUGGUGGAUCUUCUUCUUCUUGAGAAGAACCAGCAGCAGUGCCGUCGCCAUCUGCAUGUUCCAGGUCACGUGACUUGUCCAGCUGUUGCAGCAACGCCAUCAAAUACUUAACAAUUGAAUGCUGCUUCAAGAUCAAAUGAAAUCGUUGCCAAAUCUCUGAUCUCAAUUUUGAUUCUGCUGUAUUCCUGUAUAUCUUAUAUUCUACUGAAGUUUAGAAAAUUAUUUAAAAACAUUGAAUCUACUGCUGAUGGUGCGAUGGAUUGUUGAAGCAGAACUAGUCAUUACUCGAAUUUCUAAUAAAAUCAUUUAUGGGGCACGUGGUAGCGUAGUUGG